AUUGGAUUUAAAAAUAAAUAAAUUUAAAAAAUUGCUCCCACAGAUAUACUUAGGGCUUUUGAGGAAAGAUCUGAGGUACAAAUUCAUAGUAAUUCUGUCUUAUUAAUUAUACUCAGGAGUAGUAGCAUGUUAGGAGGGUAACAGAGAAAGAACACUAAUUACCCCAAAGGAGGGCUCCCGCUGCUAGACUCUGAGCCACCUGAGGGCAGAGACCAGUUUAGUAAUCUUCAUACGCUAACCUAGCACACACCUGCCACAUAGUAGGCACUGAUAAAAUACAUGAUCACUCCGUCACUGAUGGGACGAUUUUGGCACAGUGGUGUCUGGAUGAGGAAAAUGUACUCUCAUAGUCUUCUCAGGCAAUGAGUGAGCUAUGCAAUUCUUCUCUUAUUUCCACAGAGCCCAGUGGUCUGAGCAUGGAGGUUAUACACCUCUAAGAAAGGGCUAAAAUACCAACCUAAUCCUUUUGUAGCGACAGGGCUAGAUUUUGUUAUUAAAGGAGAGUCAAGGAAUAUGAAAAGAUGAGAGCAUUUAAAGCAGAGAAUGGAGAGGAUGUGAAGAAAUCCAUUUGCAGGCCCCAUCUUCAAUACCCAGGAUUAAGAUUAGAGACAGAGCCUCGAGCUAAGGGAUGGGGCUAAACUUAGACCUGUUCCUCGAGCAGGAACAAGUCUAAGUUUAGAACAGUUUCCACUGGGGCACAGAUUCCUGAGACACAUCUCUUACCUCUAAGAAUGAGCUGCAGAAGGGAUACUUGGAAACACAUAGUUUGCUCUUCAGCCUUCUUGCUCUUGGUAACCUCAGGUGAAAGACAUCACCAGACAUCCUUAGCCCUCGAUGUCACCAGGCUACUUGUUGUGGGCUGUGGGGAGGUCACGGAGCAGCAUCUGCUAAUGUUCAAUGUAACAUCCACGUAGAACGGCACAUGCUUCCUGAAAUGGGAAUCGAUCUAAUGAGGCAGAGUCUACAGUGAUGAUAUUUCCCUUUCAUUUUUAUUUUAUUUCUACACUCACUUUCAGCAUCAGCUAUGAGUGUGAACAUGUAUAUGAGUCAAAAUAUGCCUUUACAUGUGACUAUUUAAAGGAAACUAUAGUUAAUUUUUUUUGAAAAGCCAAGAAUCUUUUUGCAAAGUAAAUAAUCAUCACACAGUUCAAUUGAUGAUCUAUGACUUAGCUAGGAUGUGUUCAUUGAAAGCUCUCUGUUGUUAAAUACGUGUUGUAUGGUUAAGGGAAUAUAGAAGUACAUUUAGUCUUUGACCAAGAAGUGGAUUGGCUGGUAAGUUUUUAUGGAGGCCAAAAUGCAUGUUUCUUAUUUAUAACAUUAUAAAUCAUGAAUAGGUUCCCAGAUCAACCCUCUAAAAUCAAUUAAAUCUAUGAUGUAGAUGAAAUAAUAAAAUUUGUAACUGAAGUAAAAAGAAUGCUGAUAGAAUAAUGAAAAUUAUAAAUGAGAUAAAAAUUUUAGAUAGAAAUAUAUUUUUAGUUCUCAUUAAGAUGUUUGAGUAAAUGUAGUGUUAGAGAAACAUAAAGAGACCGUUGUAAAGCUUGAAGGACUCCAAGAAUUUGGGAUGUUGGUUGUACUGAUUCUUGUGCCUAAUUUAAUUUAAAAACAUGUAGCUUCCUCUCUUUGAGUAGAUCUGUACUCCAAUAGCUUUUACUUACCAAUUAAGCAAUUUCUGCCUCAGAUUAGAAAGAGAGGGACUAAGAAGAGAUUUUCCUGGACUUAGUGGGUAAGAUCUAGGAGAUAAAGAUGGAGGAUAGAGUUGGAAAAAAAUACGUAUGGGUGUCAAAAAGAGAUAUCCUGGUCUGCAAGUAGAUUACUGACCUGUUAAGUAGAGAAAUUAAGAAAAUCAACUCAUAAGAGUUUGCACAACUUCCCUGAUUCCUGAAGGAAGAGAAUCUGUGUUCACUGGGGUUUCCACGUUGACUGACAGUUAUGUAUUUAAAAGGAGAAUGGCAUAUUGCAUGUUUGAUGACUUUUGAAAAGUCAUUUGCAAAGUUGUUUCUUUCACACAGCAACACGAUACAGUGGUUUGGUAAUGUAAAUUUCAAUUCGGAGAUCUUAUUCAAAAUCUAAAUUCACCCUCCACUCCUCAACCCCCUUUAAAGUUGCUGUUUUUGAUUCUUAUACCACCUGUGAAGAGCCCAACAUGGGCUUCUCAGGGUGACAUCCCAUAAAAUCCUAUGGCAACCAAGCUUUCCAUAACAAGUACCCAGCUGGCUUUCUGUCUCUAUAUAUGUCGUCUAACAGGCAGGCAGCUGUGAGUCAUCAAAUACAUAUUGGGGCCAUUUGGGAGAUCAUUUUUAUAAAGAUGAAAAAUGUGUUUGAGUGUUUAUUGGUGUCGUCACUUCAGUGUGAGAUAAAGAAGUGCCAUCAAGUGGCACAGUGGGCCCUUAGAGCACGGUCCUGGGACCAGCCUCUGCAGCAUCACUUGGGAACCUGUUAGGAAAGCAGUUCUCAGGCCCCACCCAGACCGACUGAGUCAGAAACUCUGGGAGUAGGGUUCAGUAAUCUGCAUUUCAGUAAGUCCUCCUGGCGAUUGUGAUGCAAGCGAGCUCAAGUUUGAGAACCACUGGGUAAUAUGCAGAUGAGGUCAGGAGAACUAAGGAAGUAGGCCAGGGAAAGAAGCCAGCUCAGGGCAACUCCCUCCAAAACACUGAUGUUAUUACGUGGCUGAAAGCAAUCUGAGUAUUAAGAAUGACGUUGCUCGGGGUUAGGAAAUGAACCAGGCACAGCCAGAGGGAGAGAGGGAAAGGAUGAGGUUACUACUGCUUUUCUCUUGAGGUUGAAGCUGAGAGGGUUGAUCAGGUCUGCAGCACCUUAUCCAAAAUUCCAACAUCACAGAAGCUCUGAAAAUCAAGAAUUUUACUACUAGCAUGGGUUCUCCUGAAGUCUUUCUAUACAGCUAUUUCAGUAUUCAGGCACAAAUUUCCUCUUGAUAUUCAACUAAGGGUGAAGCUUCUAUGAACAUUCAUGUUUGUCUUGUG